AAAAAUUGUUGCUUUGAAAGGUUGAGUGAAACAUCAACAAACAUCAAACAUGUCUAUUAAUUGUGACAAUCGGUAAAGGAAUCAAAAAAAUGGUUUACUUGAGUAAACUUUAUUCAAAGCUCGGUUGGAGUUUAUCUCAUCAAUCAUGUGCGACUCUACAUGAGGUGACCAAUUGAUGGACACCAUUGAUUCCUGAUGAUCAGAUUAAUAAUCAAAAUUUGUUGUCGCUUGAAAAACAAAAUCAAACCUCGAACCUAAUUUGAAGCACAAAUUGCCAGUCAAUUUGUUGACUCUUGGUCAGCUUUCAUCAGCUAAUUUACUUCAUCAUUUUACCAGUUUUGAAUCAGCAAUUUAAUGCAACCAUUUUUAUCAAACCUGGCAAAUUGUGACUUCAUUUUAAUUAAUUUGCCAUUUUUUUCAUUCUUCACUUCAUUUUAAUAUCCAAAUUCAUUUGCUAACUUUAAUGGACAACUCAACCCUUUUGACUCUUUUUUUUAUCUUUUACAUUCCAUUCAACAUUAAUUGUAAAGUUCACCGUUUAAUUUGGUUGGUUAAUUUUAAAAGGCUAAAUCUGUUAACUGUUUUCAGCUUCACUUGAUCAAAGCUUGCAAUUUUGAGCUUGAAAAAUGAUUCGGAAAAUUUACAGUUAAUAUUUGACUUUCAAAUUUCGACUUAUUAAGAUUGGACUCGACUAUUGUUUGAUUGUUUCAUGUUUAAUUGCCUUUAAAAAUUGUUAAUCAUUUUAAUAGUGAAUUAACUUUUCCAUUAACAGUGCAGAGAAUGUUUAAUGUUUGUACCGUUAGAUGGCGGUUGUAACUUUUUGGGUUGAAUGGCGAUUUUGUUGCAAAAUUUUCUGAUGUUUAUUUGACCUUUUCUUUGUUAUCAAUGGGUUUAUAACCAGCUGGGGUUGCGUUUUGCUCUGUAAAUUGUACUGAUCUUGGUGUGAAUUUGAAUAAUUAUGUGAACGCUAUAUGGACGCUAUUUUUGCUACCUUUUAAACCAUGGGUUCAUUAAUGGCAUGGGUCAAGUUUAAUUAGCUGGACUCUUACCAUAGGUUCACCUCGAGUGGAAUAGUGAUUUGGUUUUGAUAAUUAUAUUUCAAACAAUCUGGUCUCAGUUGAAAUAAAAGUAACCUAAGGAUAAAGAAUUUUUGGACUCGUGAUGACCACCAAUUACAAAUCAAUCACCAAUCUUAAUCUUUCAAGGGAUCAUCUGUGAAUUAAUGAGGAAAAGGAGAAAAAAGAUGGCUUCUAAGGCUUAAUACUCAAUCAUUGAUACAUUAUCUUUCAUCGUUUAUUUUGAUGAAUCUUCUCUCUUUCCUUAACCUUACCUUUUCUUCCAAUUAUCGAUCGUAACUGUUUAUCAAUUAGCUAUAGUUGUUAGACUCUCUUUACUCUCAAUGAAGACACACUACAGCUUUUAUAUUGUAAAAGCAUUCAUUUUUACUUCUUAAGGUUAAUGUAAAAAUAAUAUCAACCUUGCCUUUCUGAUCACAUAUAUAUUAGUAAUAAUGGUUAACAUUAUUCAUAUAUAUAUAUGUAGAGAGGAUUGGGAGUGAUAUUAAAAUUCUGUGUGAAAGAACAGUAAAAACUAAUACAGAAAAUAGAGAAAGAAAGAGAAUCUUUUGGACCGUUGAAAGUAUCACAAAACCGGUAUAGACAGAGGAGACGAUAAAGACAGACCUUGAUAGAUACAGUCAGCCAUUUGAAUAGUAUAAAAAGCAGUACUUAUUUAUGUACAAUAUAAAUCCUCUUCGAGCUUUAGUCUUUUCACUUUAACUUUCCUUUGAUUGUAAGUUAAUUGCACAUUAUAAUGCAUUAAGUUUUCUCCCUCACUAUUUAAUUAUACUAAUAAUAAUCAACUUUCUCUUUCUCUCUUUCCCUGUCUGUCUAUUUUUUUAGGUGAACAUUAUUUCUACCUUUUUUUUUAUUAAUUUUUGCUUAAAGCUAUUCUCCUUACUCUCUUCUAAUUAAUCAUUUGUAGCGUUUUCAUUUUGUCUGAUUAAUCACGAAAAAAGGUUUUGCACUCAUCAAACAAUCUUGAGUAAACCCAAAAUUGUAAACCAAAUCAGCCAACAGUAGAUGAAAAUAGACACAAAUAGACAGCUAUAGAGUAAAAUAGACACACAGAGUGAAAAUGCGCUCAUGUUUUUUUGCGGACUGAUUGAUAUUAGAAUUGAAUUAUAAGAAUUGUUUGUGUUGACCAUUGAUUAUAAAAUGUCGUGAAUUGUAUUGAUUAAUUUGCAGACAAACAUGUUAACCAAAAGGUAGUCUUGUAUGUUCACAGAUACAGAUCAUUAUUGAAACUAAUGAUAUAAUGUUUCAGAUAAUUAGUUGCCUUCAUCUUUCAUCUGCAACCCAAAUAAUAGCUUAAAUAAUUUGAACAAUUGAAUAUAUAAGUUGAAAUACUUGUUGAUAUUUAAUUGUUGCAUUUUCAACAUUUUCAUUUCUCUCUAGUUUCAUUGGAAAUCCAAAAAUUGAAAGGUUCAAGCUGACAACGUGAGUAAAAGUGUAAUCACCGAUUCCAUAGAUUUUUUUUUGUAGGUUAACAACAAUUGUAAGGUUGCAAUUGAAACUCAUUACUAUGGAUACAAGAAUGAUAAGAAAGUUAAUCAUAAUACAAAAAAAAUUGGAGGCCAGUUUCAUAAUGAUAAUGAGCAAUAUUCCUAUGAGAAUCGAGUGAUCACAAAAGGGCCAAAUGUUGACUCAAAAUUAUGAUGUGAGAAAAAAAAAGUGAAUCAACUUUAUAAAUGAAAAUUUGCUGUCGAAAAGUGAAUGUUUUGAAAAUGAUCAAACCCAAAAGUCAAGUCAGUUGACAGAUGAAGUUUGAAUUGUAUCUGUAAAGGUAAAUGGUCUGAUACUCACGGUUGGACAAUUGCUCACUUGUGCGGCAAUUGCGUUAACUGUCUUUAGCUGGUCAGUACCACAAACUCUUGGCAUUCACCGCGUGCCUUAUGAUAAAUCAAAGCUCUACAUGAAGGCAAACAGUGAACACGGAGAGUAUCCAGGUCGAGUCGAGUCUUAAACUAACAAUCGACAGUUUUGUUUUUUUUAUAUCUUGCCUUUUGUUUCGCUGAAUAAUUUGGCUGCGCUUCCGAGCGCUAAAAGAGGCCAAAUGUGCGGAUAAAAGGUAAACAUAAGGGAUCAAGGGUAACAAUGAAGAGCAACAAAAGAUGAUAGAGAGGGAAGAUGAGAGAGUCUAGGGGAGAGAGAAGGAAAAGACGAAGGAAGACAGAAGGUACUAAGAAGAAACGGAAAGGGAACAAUACAAUUGGAUAAUAAUUACUGGAAAAGAGGAGGAAGAUGGCGAUCAUUUUGGAUGAAGAUCUGAUGAAAAGCGCAGUGGAGAAAAAAAGACCAAAAAAUAAGACGGAAAAGCGAAGGAUAAAAAAACGGAAAGACGAUCAAGAUGAAGACUUUGGUUUCUGGUACUUUUUUGGUUAACGCUUGGUCUUGAUGCUUGGAUGGUGGUAAGAUGUUGAGCGCCUGUUGGUUCAUGUCCAUAUCAAUAAGAUAACCACAACUCUUGGCAUUCACCGCGUGCCUUAUGAUAAUCAAAGGAAACAUCAAGACAUACACAGUGAACACGGAGAGUAUGGCAAUGACAAUAACAUGACAUUUGAAGUUUUUCAUAAGGCUUUCAACAGGGAGGAAAUCAUGUUUUUAUAUAUAGAGUGAAAUUUUAUUUGGAAAAAUUGAAAGUCACUUAACAAGAGGAAAAAAAAGACACUGGGAUCAAGGAAAACAACACUCGAGUCAACAUUAAAGUUCUGGUUAUUCACUGGUUAUAUCAAAUGAAUUGGCAAUAAAAACUCUAAAGAAGGAAAAGAAAGACGUAAAUUACAUUGAAUCAAAACUUGGAAUGAAAAUAUUGAA